rnacentral:rRNA from 1 species
GACGAACGCUGGCGGCGUGCUUAACACAUGCAAGUCGAACGGAAAGGCCCUUCGGGGUGCUCGAGUGGCGAACGGGUGAGUAACACGUGGGUGAUCUGCCCUGCACUUUGGGAUAAGCCUGGGAAACUGGGUCUAAUACCGAAUAGGACCGCGCUCUUCAUGGGGUGUGGUGGAAAGCUUUUGCGGUGUGGGAUGGGCCCGCGGCCUAUCAGCUUGUUGGUGGGGUAAUGGCCUACCAAGGCGACGACGGGUAGCCGGCCUGAGAGGGUGACCGGCCACACUGGGACUGAGAUACGGCCCAGACUCCUACGGGAGGCAGCAGUGGGGAAUAUUGCACAAUGGGCGCAAGCCUGAUGCAGCGACGCCGCGUGAGGGAUGACGGCCUUCGGGUUGUAAACCUCUUUCAGUACCGACGAAGCGCAAGUGACGGUAGGUACAGAAGAAGGACCGGCCAACUAC